UACGUAGGGUGCGAGCGUUAAUCGGAAUUACUGGGCGUAAAGCGUGCGCAGGCGGUUUUGUAAGCCAGAUGUGAAAUCCCCGGGCUUAACCUGGGAAUGGCAUUUGGGACUGCAAGGCUUGAGUGCGGCAGAGGAGACUGGAAUUCCUGGUGUAGCAGUGAAAUGCGUAGAUAUCAGGAGGAACACCAGUGGCGAAGGCGACUUCCUGGCCUGUUCUUGACGCUGAGGCGCGAAAGCUAGGGGAGCAAACGGG
rnacentral:rRNA from 1 species